rnacentral:rRNA from 1 species
GACGUAGGGCGCGAGCGUUGUCCGGAUUUAUUGGGCGUAAAGAGCUCGUAGGCGGCUCAUUGCGUCAACCGUGAAAACCAGCAGCUCAACUGUUGGCUUGCGGUUGAUACGGGUGGGCUGGAGUUCGGUAGGGGAGACUGGAAUUCCUGGUGUAGCGGUGAAAUGCGCAGAUAUCGGGAGGAACACCAGUGGCGAAGGCGGCGACCUGGGCCAAUACUGACGCUGAGGUGCGAAAGCGUGGGGAGCAAACAGG